rnacentral:rRNA from 1 species
GAUGAACGCUGGCGGCGUGCCUAAUACAUGCAAGUCGAGCGAACAGACGAGGAGCUUGCUCCUCUGACGUUAGCGGCGGACGGGUGAGUAACACGUGGAUAACCUACCUAUAAGACUGGGAUAACUUCGGGAAACCGGAUCUAAUACCGUAUAAUAUAUUGAACCGCAUGGUUCAAUAGUGAAAGACGGUUUUGCUGGCACUUAUAGAUGGAUCCGCGCCGCAUUAGCUAGUUGGUAAGGUAACGGCUUACCAAGGCAACGAUGCGUAGCCGACCUGAGAGGGUGAUCGGCCACACUGGAACUGAGACACGGUCCAGACUCCUACGGGAGGCAGCAGUAGGGAAUCUGCCGCAAUGGGCGAAAGCCUGACGGAGCAACGCCGCGUGAGUGAUGAAGGUCUUCGGAUCGUAAAACUCUGUUAUUAGGGAAGAACAAAUGUGUAAGUAACUAUGCACGUCUUGACGGUACCUAAUCAGAAAGCCACGGCUAACUACGUG